rnacentral:rRNA from 1 species
UACGGAGGGUGCAAGCGUUUGUCCGGAUUCAUUGGGUUUAAAGGGUGCGCAGGCGGGACAUUAAGUCAGGGGUGAAAGACGGUUGCUCAACAAUCGCAGUGCCUUUGAUACUGGUGUUCUUGGGUGACCUUGAGGUAGGCGGAAUGGGUGGUGUAGCGGUGAAAUGCAUAGAUACCACCCAGAACUCCGAUUGCGAAGGCAGCCUACUGGAGGUUUACCGACGCUCAGGCACGAAAGCGUGGGGAUCAAACAGG